AUUGAACGCUGGCGGCAGGCCUAACACAUGCAAGUCGAACGAGUGGCGGACGGGUGCGUAAUGUCUGGGAAACUGCCUGAUGGAGGGGGAUAACUACUGGAAACGGUAGCUAAUACCGCAUACCAUCAGAUGUGCCCAGAUGGGAUUAGCUUGUUGGUGGGGUAACGGCUCACCAAGGAGACUAUCCCUAUCUGGUUUGAGAGGAUGACCAGCAACACUGGAACUUAGACACGGUCCAGACGCCGACGGGAGGCAGCAGUGGGGAAGAUUGCACAAGGGGCGCAAGCCUGAUGCAGCCAUGCCGCGGGUAUGAAGAAGGCCUUAGGGUUGUAAAGUACUUGCAGCGGGGAGGCGUUACCCACAGAAGAAGCACCGGCUAACUCCGUGCCAGCAGCCGCGGUAAUUC
rnacentral:rRNA from 1 species